GAUGAACGCUGACAGAAUGCUUAACACAUGCAAGUCAACUGUGGCGGACGGGUGAGUAACGCGUAAAGAACUUGCCUCACAGAUAGGGACAACAUUUGGAAACGAAUGCUAAUACCUGAUACUGUGAGAGAGCUUUGCGUCCCAUUAGCUAGUGGGAGAGGUAACGGCUCACCAAGGCGAUGAUGGGUAGCCGGCCUGAGAGGGAGAUAGGCCACAAGGGGACUGGGACACCACCCUUACUGCUACGGGAGGAAGCAGUGGGGAAUAUUGGACAAUGGACCAAAGUCUGAUCCAGCAAUUCUGUGUGCAAGAUGAAGUUUUCGGAAUGUAAAGUGCUUUCAGUUGGGAAGCAGUACCAACAGAAGAAGUGACGGCUAAAUACGUGCCAGCAGCCGCGGUAAUUC
rnacentral:rRNA from 1 species